GGGGAUGUAGUCUAGUGGUUAUGGCGCUUUCUUAGCAUGGAAGAGGUCCCCGGUUCAAUUCCGGGCAUCUCCA
rfam:Wallemia ichthyophaga EXF-994 unplaced genomic scaffold scaffold5, whole genome shotgun sequence.